GGUCAAGUGAAAAAGUGCGUACGGUGGAUGCCUUGGCGGCAAAAGGCGAUGAAGGACGUGGUAGUCUGCGAUAAGCCCCGGUCAGCUGACAAACAAGCAUUUGACCCGGGGAUUUCCGAAUGGGGAAACCCGCCCGCUACGGCGGGCAUCGGCGUCUGAAUACAUAGGGCGCCCGAAGCAAACCCGGAGAACUGAAACAUCUAAGUACCCGGAGGAAAAGAAAUCAACCGAGAUUCCCCCAGUAGCGGCGAGCGAACGGGGACCAGCCCUUAAGCCCGGGCGAGGCCAGUGGAAGUGUCUGGAAAGGCACACCAUAGAAAGUGACAGUCUUGUACACAAAAGCCUCGUUCGGGUGAAAUCGAGUAGGACGGAACACGUGAAAUUCUGUCUGAACAUCGGGGGACCAUCCUCGAAGGCUAAAUACUCUUUGCCGACCGAUAGUGAACCAGUACCGUGAGGGAAAGGUGAAAAGAACCCCGGGAGGGGAGUGAAAUAGUACCUGAAACCGUUCGCAUACAAGCAGUGGGAGCCCCUUCGGGGGUGACCGCGUACCUUUUGUAUAAUGGGUCAGCGACUUACUUUCAGUGGCAAGCUUAACCGUAUUAGGGGAGGCGCAGGGAAACCGAGUCUUAAAUGGGCGCACAGUCGCUGGAAGUAGACCCGAAACCGGGCGAUCUAGCCAUGGCCAGGAUGAAAGCGAGGUAACACUCGCCGGAGGUCCGAACCCACCUAUGUUGAAAAAUGGGGGGAUGAGCUGUGGCUAGGAGUGAAAGGCUAACCAAGCCCGGAGAUAGCUGGUUCUCCUCGAAAUCUAUUUAGGUAGAGCCUCGUGUCUUACUCCAGGGGGUAGAGCACUGUUAUGGCUAGGGGGUCAUCCCGACUUACCAAACCAUUGCAAACUCCGAAUACCUGGAAGUGUAAUCACGGGAGACACACGGCGGGUGCUAAGGUCCGUCGUGGAAAGGGAAACAGCCCAGACCGUCAGCUAAGGUCCCCAAAUCAUGGCUCAGUGGGAAACGAUGUGGGAAGGCACAGACAGCUAGGAGGUUGGCUUAGAAGCAGCCACCCUUUAAAGAAAGCGUAAUAGCUCACUAGUCGAGUCGGCCCGCGCGGAAGAUUUAACGGGGCUAAGUCAUGUACCGAAGCUGCGGAUGCCGAAAGGCAUGGUAGAGGAGCGUUCUGUAGGCCGUUGAAGGCGGACCGGGAGGUGUGCUGGAGGCAUCAGAAGUGAGAAUGCUGACAUGAGUAACGAUAAUGCGGGUGAAAAACCCGCACGCCGUAAGCCCAAGGUUUCCUGCGCAACGUUAAUCGGCGCAGGGUGAGUCGGCUCCUAAGGCGAGGCCGAAAGGCGUAGUCGAUGGAAAACAGGUUAAAAUUCCUGUACUUCGUGUUGUUGCGAUGGGGGGACGGAGAAGGCUGAAUCAUCCGGGCGUUGGUUGUCCCGGUGCAAGUGCGUAGGGAGCGCCCUCUGGAAAAUCCGGGGGCGCAAUUCCGAGACACGAUGCCGAGCUCCUUUUGGAGCGAAGUGAUUGAUGCCAUGCUUCCAGGAAAAGCCUCUAAGCUUCAGACAACACGAAACCGUACCCCAAACCGACACAGGUGGGCGGGGAGAGAAUCCCAAGGCGCUUGAGAGAACCCGGGUGAAGGAACUAGGCAAAAUAGCACCGUAACUUCGGGAGAAGGUGUGCCGGUUCGGGUGAAGGGGCUUGCCCCCGGAGCCUGGGCCGGUUGCAACAACCAGGUGGCUGCGACUGUUUAUUAAAAACACAGCACUCUGCAAACUCGCAAGAGGACGUAUAGGGUGUGACGCCUGCCCGGUGCCGGAAGGUUAAGUGAUGGGGUCAGCCCUCGGGCGAAGCUCUUGAUCGAAGCCCCGGUGAACGGCGGCCGUAACUAUAACGGUCCUAAGGUAGCGAAAUUCCUUGUCGGGUAAGUUCCGACCUGCACGAAUGGCGUAACGAUGGCCACACUGUCUCCACCCGGGACUCAGCGAAAUUGAAAUUGCUGUGAAGAUGCAGUGUACCCGCACCAAGACGGAAAGACCCCGUGAACCUUUACUACAACUUCACACUGGACUUUGAAUAUGUCUGUGUAGGAUAGGUGGGAGGCUGUGAACCCGGAACGCCAGUUCCGGUGGAGCCAAUCUUGAAAUACCACCCUGAUAUCUUCGGGGCCCUAACUGUGGUCCGUCAUCCGGAUCCGGAACAGUGUGUGGUGGGUAGUUUGACUGGGGCGGUCUCCUCCCAAAGAGUAACGGAGGAGCGCGAAGGUGCUCUAAGCACGGUCGGAAAUCGUGCGGUUUGUGCAAAGGCACAAGGGCGCUUGACUGCGAGACAGACAAGUCGAGCAGGUGGGAAACCAGGUCUUAGUGAUCCGGUGGUUCUGUAUGGAAGGGCCAUCGCUCAACGAAUAAAAGGUACUCCGGGGAUAACAGGCUAAUACUGCCCAAGAGUUCAUAUCGACGGCAGUGUUUGGCACCUCGAUGUCGGCUCAUCACAUCCUGGGGCUGAAGCAGGUCCCAAGGGUAUGGCUGUUCGCCAUUUAAAGUGGUACGCGAGCUGGGUUUAGAACGUCGUGAGACAGUUCGGUCCCUAUCUACCGUGGGCGUUUGAGACUUGAGGGAUGCUACUCCUAGUACGAGAGGACCGGAGUGGACGCACCUCUGGUGUUCCGGUUGUCACGCCAGUGGCACCGCCGGGUAGCUAUGUGCGGACGAGAUAACCGCUGAAAGCAUCUAAGCGGGAAGCUUUUCCCAAGAUAAGGUCUCACCGGGGACUUGAUCCCCCUGUAGGGCCCUCGAAGACGACGAGGUUGAUAGGCCGGAUGUGGAAGCGCGGUAACGCGUGAAGCUGACCGGUACUAAUUGCCCGUGAGGCUUGACCAU
rnacentral:rRNA from 1 species